AUGACUGAACCCUCACAGUACCUCCUCCUUACACCAGGCACAGUGUGGUCCAGACUCCAGACACUCUCCACAGCUCUUGACCCCUCCUGUCUUCUCUGGCCUAGGGCAAGGACAACAAGUAGAACAACAACCUUUCACUGCCACCCACUGCAAGGACAGCCCUCCCCUACCACUAAUCCAAGACCAGCUCUAACAGCAGCCAACUGCCCUGGGUGUCCCAAAUGGCACCCUAUUCCCUACAUAGUGCCCUACUUUAGACCAGAGUCUUAUGGGUCCUGGUCAAAAGUAGUGCACUAUAUAGGGAAUAGAGUUCCAUUUGAGACGUAGACACAAGUGUUAAAUAAUACAUGGUGCUGAGCAGCGAACAAUCUCUCAGUGGAGGCAAAGACUGGAAGACGAGGGACUCCUCCUUACUGAAUAUCUGGCAGUAACACAGUCUAUGCGCAGUAAGUUGAGGAAAUGAAGAGGACUCUCUCUCUCUCUCUCUCUUUCUCCUUCCAUGCAGUGAAACUUCACACAGUGCUGCUCUGAUGAUAUGAAUUAUAAAGAGGAAGGAACACUCACUUCAACUCUGCCACAUACUGAAUCGAAGGACAUUACACAGGUCUGCACUGCCCUCUAGAUGAGGUCUCAGCCAGGUAUGUACAUUACAGUGCAAAGUAGAGAAGGAAAGUGUAUUGUACUUUAAUCUACUCUACUGAAUUAAACUAUACUCUACUGUACUCUACUAAAUUGAACUACCCCUUUGAAAUGUAAAGCGGUUAUGGUUUCGGGUAGAGGCGUCCUAAGGAUCACGGAUAGCACUGUUUUUUUUAUAAAGGGUAACACUAGUGACAUGGAGUGGAAGGACAGUUAUUCCCUGUAAAAGAUUGUUCAUAUUUAGUUGAUAUUUUAGUUUUUUAAGUUGUCAACUAUGCAAAGUUAAUACUUUUACUCAAAAUAUGUCACUUAACCUUGACUCAUGACCCGAGGGACAACCCAAUUUCAUGCUACUGACCAUGUUCUUCAAUAUAUAUUUGUAAAAAUGGUUGGCAAUUUGUCUGUCUUACAUAUGUUUUAUUAACAAUAAAACACUUCAGUGUUUUGCACUUCAGUGCAGUGCUAGCUGUGCCACUAGAGAUCCUGGGUCGAGUCCAGUCUCUGUCGCAGCUGGGAGACCGAUGGGGUGGCACGCAUUUGGCCCAGCGUCGUUCGGGUUAGGGGAGGGUUUGGCCGGCAGGGAUGUUCUUGUCCCAUUGCGCACGACCAACCCCCUUAUGGCAGGCAGGGCACAAUGCACUCUGACACGGUCGCCAGGUGUACGGUGUUUCCUCCGACACGUUGAUGCGGCUGGCUUCCGGGUUAAGUGGGCAUGGCUGGGUUGUGUUUCGGAGGACGCACGGCUUUCGACCUUCGCCUCUCCCGGGUCUGUACAGGAGUUGCAGUGAUGGGACAAGACUCUAACUACCAAUUGGAUACCAUGAAAAUGGGGAGAAAAGGGGGUAAAAUAAUGAACAAAAAAAUAUAUAUACAAAAAAAAAUAAAACACUUCAAUUUGAACAAAACCACAUAUUUUGUGUCAUUAUCUGACACUUUUAAAUGUUUUUCCUGGUGGUUAAGGCCAGGAUAGGAAAUCUGCCAUUUUUGUAGAAUGAAUCAUAUCUCUGCUAGACUGUUCUCACUGUUAACCACAGGGCAGUUAAUCUCUUUGUGAUCACAUGAUGCCCAAUUUUCACACUGUCAGUUUAUCAUAAACAUUUGUAUAAACCUAGAUGGCUGCUGAUGACAUUGCUGAGAAUGUAAUAAAUUGUCAGAUUAAUCAUUAUGUGCUGUUACCAUAAUCCCUCAGUGACACGAUGUAGACAGCUAGCUAGCACACAACUCUGUGUGACACACAUAGUUUUUACAGCCAACACGGGUGGGCCAUGACUAGAAGGGAUGCAGCUUUUGUCAAAUUAACAUCAAAAGUAGAUUUUUUUGGUUUCAUUUUAGCUAUAACCCUGACCCUAACCCUUUUCCUAACCUUAAGAAUGUGAAAUGUCAGAAUAAUAGAAGAGAUAAUGAUUUAUUUCAGCUUUUAAUUAUUUCAUCACAUUCCCAGUGGGUCAGAAGUUUACAUACACUCAAUUAGUAUUUGGUAGCAUUGCCUUUAAAUUGUUUAACUUGGGUCAAACGUUUCAGGUAGCCUUCCACAAGCUUCCCACAAUAGGUUGGGUGAAUUUUGGCCCAUUCCUCCUGACAGAGCUGGUGUAACUGAGUCAGGUUUGUAAGCUUCCUUGCUCACACACGCUUUUUCAGUUCUGCCCACAAAUUUUCUAUAGGAUUGAGGUCAGGGCUUUGUGAUGGCCACUCCAAUACCUUGACUUUGUUGUCCUCAAGCCAUUUUGCCACAACUUUGGAAGUGUGCUUGGGGUCAUUGUCCAUUUGGAAGACCCAUUUGCGACCAAGCUUUAACUUCCUGACUGAUGUCUUGAGAUGUUGCUUCAAUAAAAUCCACAUAAUUUUACUUCCUCAUGAUGCCAUCUAGUUUGUGAAGUGCACCAGUCCCUCCUACUAUUGUUUGUACAGAUGAACGUAGUACCGUCAGGCAUUUGGAAAUUGCCCCCAAAGAUGAACCAGACUUAUGGAUGUCUUGGCUGAUUUAUUUUGAUUUUACCAUGAUGUCAAGAAAAGAGGCACUGAGUUUGAAGGUAGGCCAUGAAAUACAUCCACAGGUACACCUCCAAUUGACUCAAAUGAUGUCAAUUAGCCUAUCAGAAGCUUCUAAAGCCAUGACAAAAUUUUCGGGAAUUUUCCAAGCUGUUUAAAGGCACAGUCAACUUAGUGUAUGUAAACUUCUGACCCACUGGAAUUGUGAUACAGUGAAUUACAAGUGUCAUGAACAAAGUAGAUGUGCUAACCGACUUGCCAGAACUAUAGUUUGUUAACAAAAAAUUUGUGGAGUGGUUGAAAAACGAGUUUUAAUGAACCCAACCUAGGUGUAUGUAAACUUCUGACUUCAACUUGUACAUCUUUUUUUUUUUAUCCCCAUAAACAUUGAAUUGGUUUGGACAUUUGAGAACGUCUCCAAACUACAGUACUCCUGCAAUCAACUAGCUAGUUGUUUUGACUAGCUAGAUCAUUUCAUCUUCUGGAGCCAAGGACAAUUGUGAUUUUCAUGUGUGCAGUUUUCUGUACAUUGCCUUGGAAUGGUUGCUUCAACUGAUGGAUGGAGGGGUUUUGCCAUCAGAAGACUUUCAGCUGCAUUUUUGCUCCCCGUAUUCUCCC
rnacentral:lncRNA from 13 species